rnacentral:lncRNA from 1 species
AUCUCUCGAAAUCUGCAGACAUCUUGAUUUUUCCCACGCUGUCUGUCAGGUCUCCGCCGCCACUCGACGCCAGGGCGCCGGGCCUUGUGGGCUGUGCUGCACCUCGGACGGCUUCGCACCAGCCAGCGCCCUCUCUCUCCUGCAGCACUCUGAUCUGCACCCCCUGAGGGGCUUCCACUGUCCGCGGGGUGAGAAUGCCCCUGGGAAUGUCACAUGACUGCCGCCCCAUGUGUGUGAGAGGUGUCCUCUGGGAGAGCAUGGAUCCUGAGGUCCCAGGAUUGUCAGCUGACCUCUGUCCUGUGUGCCCAGUGGCCCCAGGUGACGUGUCUUCAAGAAGAGGCUGAGCUGCGGUGCUUGUAAGGCAGGGUCUCACUCUGUCACCCAGGCGGCUGGAGUGCAGUGGUGCAAUGAUGGCUCACUGCAGCCUCGACCUGGGCUCAAGUGAUCCUCCACCUCAGCUUCCCGAGUAGCUGGGACCACAGGUCUCAGCCUUAGAUCCAAGGACAGUCCAAGGAAGUCCUAAGACCAUGGAGUUGGUGAUCUGGGAUCUGGGUUUGCUGAUAUUUCUCACCAUGAAUCUCUUGGUGGUGUUUGUGGGCAUGAGAGGGGCAGAGAAUAGAGAGUGAGGCUACCACAUGAAGCGUCACCAGAGCUGCUCCCUGCUGCCUGCUCAGAGCACCCCGGAUCCACUGUUCAAUCUGCACAAGAUUCGGGGUCCAGACAUGGGAGACUUCAGCUGCCUCAGAGGACCGUGGACAGGGAAGGCCAGCCUCGCAUCCCUCUGUCCAUGCCUGGAAUGACUUUAAUAACCAAGAGUUUUAUUCUUGAAUUUGUAGCUGUCGUUCACUUUUUACCCACCCAUUCAAUAAACCUUACAGAAUUG